rnacentral:rRNA from 1 species
GACGAACGCUGGCGGCGUGCUUAACACAUGCAAGUCGAACGGAAAGGCCCUGGUUUCGUGGGGUGUUCGGGCGGCGAACGGGCGAGUAACACGUGAGUAACCUGCUCUUGACUUUGGGAUAACUUCAGGAAACUGGGGCUAAUUACGGCUCGGUGCUCUUGUUGCGUGGUGGGGGUUGGAAAUUUUCGGCGGGUGGGGUUGGACUGGCGGCUUAUCAGCUUGUUGGCGAGGUUGUGGCUUACUAAGGCUUUGCCGGGUAGCCGGCCUGAGAGGGUGACCGGCCACAGUGGGACUGAGAUACGGCCCAGACUCCUACGGGAGACAGCAGUAGGGAAGAAUGCACGAUGGGCGGAAGCCUGAUGCAGCAACACCGCGUGCGGGGUGACGGCCUUCUGGUAUUAAACCGCUUUCGCCUGUGACGAAGCGUGAGUGACGGUAAUGGAUAAAGAAGCACCGGCUAACUACGUG